rnacentral:pre_miRNA from 1 species
ACCCGUAAAAUUUGUAUGGAGUUCGAACGUUUGCCUAUGUUUGCCGCUAGGGGCGCUGUUCCAACUCCAUACAAAUAUAAGUUA